AGCUUUCCUUCCCUUCAUUAAGGUACUACGACUCACCACAACAUGGUCGCCGGCUGCUGCACCAACGAGGUGACGGUCAACGUCAGCGUCCACAGGAUGUGGAAGGCGGCCGCCUGCGAGGAUCACAUCCUGCUGCCAAAGAUCAUUCCUCAGUACUUCGCUGGCGCAGAGCUCGUCGGCGAUGGCGAAGCUGGCAGCACAAAGACCUUCCACUUCACUCCAGGUUUAGAUUUUGAUGCUGCUUUCCGACAUUCGUGUGCGUGCGAGAAGAGAUCGCAAAACAAGGAUAAAAAAUAAUCUCACAUCGAUAAAAAGAAUCGGAUGAUACAUAUCGAAACCUUUUUGGUUGAAUUGAUGUAUGAUCUGUUAAUUGGAACUAAUUUGGCUAUUGUUGCGAUCCAUCGAACUGCAGCCGCAGAGCCACUGACCUUCGUGAAGGACCAUGUUGAGGUGUUGGACCACGGAAGCCACACGAUGAGGUACAAGGCGAUCGAAGGAGGUCACCUCGGCCGCACGCUCAAGUCGCACGCGUUCGAGGUCAAGUUCGAAGCGGCGGGCGCCGACAGCUGUGUCGUGAAGACCAAGACAGAAUACGAUACGAUCGACGACGCGCCGCUGCCGGAGGACGAGGUGCAGAAGAUGACGGACGUGCCAGUACGGAUGAUGAAGUCGGUGGAAGCCUAUCUGAUAGCCAACCCCGGUGUUUGUGCCUGAGCCCCUGAGCCUCUGAGCCGGUGGGCUUUCGUGUACCGACGUUGGUGCUUCCAGUGUCGUAGUGCUUGUCAUUGGGCGUGGAUCAAUCAAUAAUGAGGUGAUGCAGCAGUGCUGGAAUCAUCACCUUUAGAGUGAGAGAGUGAGAGAGUGAGAGAGAGAUAGGACAUGACAUGUUGAUGCCAUCUCUCUCUUUGUCUGUUCUUUCCAUCUUCUGCAAUGUGGUGUUUUGUGUGGUCGUUGAAGGACAUAUAUCUACAAAUAAGAUGUGAUUUCUUUGGUAUCAUGUAAUCCUUCUUUUUUGGUAUCAUUCUUAGUAGUCUCUUUUAAAGAUUCAAAGACUAGCGUAAUCCAAAUUAAACAUGGAUUUAAUUGAUUUUACUUAAACUAUAUGAUACGUUUAUAAUGUUUGUUCGUAACGAGUCAACCUUCUCGUAAUUUUAUUUACUCUCAUCCAUAAAUAAAUCAGUUACCGAUAAAUGAAUGCAUGAACAAACAAAUCGAUGUCACCUUAGUAAAAUAUACCUUGGGAUUAUAUAACUAAAAUUGAACAAAAUACCUUCUUAGACGACUAAAAUGGAUGCAUUUUGCUGAAAGAUUUUACGAUAAAAAAUUGAAGGUUAAUUCGUCGUCCAUAAAGUUUAAGUACAUAAGUGAUAGGUUCAUCCAUCGUCCAUAAAGUUUAAGUACAUAAGUGAUAAAACUUCAUCCAAUCUUAUGUUUGUUCAAAAUUUAUAUAAUUAAAUUUGAACAAAAUAUCUUACUAAAAUGGAUGCAUUUUGCUUGCUCUGAAAAAAUUUUACGAUAAAAAAUUGAAGGCUAAUCCAUCGUCAAUAAAAUUUAAGUACAUAAGUGAUAACGUAUCUUAGAACUUUCAUCCAAUCUUGUGUCGGUUCAAAAUUAAAUGUUAACAUGACAUGAGAUUUGACGUAAUAGUGAUGUGACCUUAUCUACAAACUCGAUAGAAACAAAUUAAUUCUUCUAUUUUUUAAGAUAAAUACUGGUAAUACGGCAACAUCAAAAAUAUUAUAUCGUACAAUUUGGUUCUUCCUCUUAGUUUCAAACAUGAAGCUCCACAAAGACGGCAAUAAAAUAAAAUUAACGAAGAAAAAUGCAACACGACAUCAACUCAUCGUGAUCUCACUCACCCUAACAAAGAAUAUAAUAAUAAACUACACCGUUGAAUGAACUGUUAAUUCUUUCAUUAAAUGCAUGAAAUACAUUUAUGGUGAAACUUUGUUUCUAACAUACAUACAUACAUACAUACAUACAUACAUACAUAUUUUAAUCUGACUAGCAUAUGCUUGAAGAAUCCGAUCAUUCUCGACUACGGCUGAUGAUGAUAUGGGGCUGCUCAACAAUGAAGACCGCAAAGUCUGCAUGCUUGUGAGCUUUGAAGUCUUCGCUUCAGUCAACAAAUACUAGCUAGUUUGAAUGCUUCCAAGUUUACCAUGACACCCACUUCUUAGAACAUUGAAUUGGGAUGAGGAUGCCAACAAGAGAAGAUGAACCGAUUCAUUGGCAUGGAGCGAUCUUCGCGUCAUCUCAGACCCCCCCCUUUUUCCAAUCUAAUCGAUGAGGUUACCUAAAGUUCAAACUUCAUCUGGAAGCCCGAGAUGACCCGGCACUCCAUCGCCGUCUAUAAAUGGACUCUUCCCCUUCCCUUCACCACCAACCCAUCACAGCCUGCAGAGCUCUCAUCCGGCAAAACACCUUCAUCGACGCCAUGGUUGCCGGGUGCUGCACCGAAGAGCUGACGCUCAAUGUCAGCGUCCACAGAGUAUGGAAGGCGGCCGCCUGCGAGGAUCACAUCCUGCUGCCAAAGAUCAUGCCGCAGUACUUCUCCGGCGCCGAGCUCAUCGGGGAUGGUGAAGCUGGCAGCACCAAGAUCUUCCACUUCGAUCCAGGUUUGGAUUCACAUCACCAAUGCUUCUUUCAGGUAACAGGAAGAUCCGUAAACUAUGCUGAUUUCAACUGGCAAUUCUGUGGAUGAGACUGCAGGUAUGAAGCCACUGAUCUUCGUGAAGAACCAUGUCGAAGUGCUGGAUCAUGGGAGCCACACCUUGAAGUACAAGACCGUCGAGGGAGGCCACCUCGGCCACACGCUCAAGUCGCACACCAUCGAGCACAAGUACGACGCCUUGAGCGCCGACACCUGCUCUCUGAAGAUCAAGGUGGAGUAUGAUACCAUCGACGACAAGGGGCUCCCCGAGGAGGAGGUGAACAAGAUCAAGGAGGGGUCGGUAUGGGUCGCCAAGGCUGUGGAAGGUUACCUGACCACCAACCCCGCUGCUUAUGCCUAAGCCUCUGGAAACUAUCCGUAUUGUCUGUCAUGUGUGG
rnacentral:lncRNA from 1 species